rnacentral:rRNA from 1 species
AUGCAAUGUCUAAAUACCUUGAAGGCAUCAGAUUCCAUGUGAUUUUGGAAGUUUAGCAGGAUCAUGUCUGGUUAGUACCUGGAUGGGAGACCAAAGAGGAAGACUAGUGCUCUUGGAUA